rnacentral:rRNA from 1 species
GCAUCCGAAGGUAAAUGGCGGGGUUCGAUUCUGGCUCAGAUGACGCUGUGGAUAUACCGUGCAAGUCGAACGGCAGCACGGACUUUCGGUCUGGUGGCGAGUGGCGAACGGGUGAGUAAUGUAUCCGGAACGUGCCUAGUAGCGGGGGAUAACUACGCGAAAGCGUAGCUAAUACCACAUACGCCCUUCGGGGAAAGCGGGGACCUUCGGGCCUCGCACUAUUAGAAGCGGCCGAUAUCCGGAUUGGCUAGUUAGGUGGGGUAACAGCUCACCAAGGCGACGAUCCCGUAGCUGGUUUUGAGAGGACGACCAGCCACACUGGGACUGAGACACGGCCCAGACUCCUACAGGAGGCAGCAGUGGGGGAAUUUGGACAAUGGGGAAACCCUGAUCCAGCCAUCCCGCGUGUGCGAUGAAGGCCUUCGGGUUGUAAAGCACUUUUGGCAGGAAAAACGGCACAGGGAUAAUACCCCGUGCAGCAGCGGUACCUGCAGAAUAAGCACCGGCUAACUACGUGCCAGCAGCCGCGGUAAUACGUAGAGGUGCAAACGUUAAUCGGAAUUACUGGGCGUAAAGCGUACGCAGGCGGUUCCACGGAAAAGAUGUGAAAUCUAGGCUUAACUUUGGAACUGCAUUUUUUAACUACCAGCUGAAGUAUUGUCAGAGGUGGAAUUCCGCGUGUAUGAUGAAAUGCGCGUAGAUAUGCGGAGGAACACCGAUGGCGAAAACAGCCUCCUGGAUAACACACUGACGCUCAUGCACGAAAGCGUGGGGAGCAAACAGGAUUAAAUGCCUGGUAGUCCACGCCCUAAACGAUGUCAACUAGCUGUUGGGGCCUUCGGGCCUUGGUAGCGCAGCUAACGCGUGAAGUUGACCGCCUGGGAAAUGCGGUCGCAAGAUUAAAACUCAAAGGAAUUGACGGGGACCGCACAAGCAGUGGAUGAUGUGGAUUAAUUCGAUGCAACGCGAAAACCGCCCACCCUACCGCCCAGCAUGUCACCAGGUCGAAGAGAUUUGGGAGUGCUCGCAAGAGAACCGGAACACAGGUGCUGCAUGGCUGUCGUCAGCUCGUGUCGUGAGAUGUUGGGUUAAAGUCCGCAACGAGCGCAACCCUUGUCAUUGGUUGCUACCGAAGGGCACUCGAGACUGCCGGUGACAAACCGGAGGAAGGUGGGGAUGACGUCAAGUCACAUGGCCCUUAUGGGUAGGGCUUCACACGUCCUUACAAUGGUCGGGACAGAGGUCGCCAACCCGCGAGGCCAGUGAAACCCGAUCGUAGUCCGGAUCGCAGUCUGCAACUCGACUGCGUGAAGUCAGAAUCGCUAGUAAUCGCGGAUCAGCAUGUCGCCGGUGUUCGUUCCCGGUCUUGUACACACUGCCAGAAAACUCACACCAAGCAAGGUAGGUUUUACCAGAAGUAGUUAGCCUAACCGUAGGAGGAGCGAUUACGGCCAGGAUUCAUGACUGGGGUGAAGUCGUAACAAGGUAG